GUCCUCGUGGACCAUGGCAGAUCACCCCAUACGCAUGAAAUGUUGCAGUGAUCAAAUGCUGGGGAGACGGCGGUUCGAAUCCGCCCCGGGACG